CUUGCAAUGAAAUUUCAAAACUUGAACUUGUCAGGAGACCCAAAUUUACAUGUAGAUUUCAUUUCCCACUGGAUACGAAAUAAUGCAAAAGAAGAGUUCCACAUUGUGUGAUCUAGAGGAGCUAUUACAGACAUCCGAUAAAGAGAAGAAAGAAAAAACUAAAAUCUUAUAUUAUCCAAAGAAAUGUACACUAGGACUAUGAUGCCCAGACUUAAGUAUGGAUAUCAGAUAUGGUUACGUAUUCAAGUGUCGGAAUUUUAUUUUCUAAAAUAUAGGACACGAAAAUAUGACUAUAAAAAGUCUAAAUUUUGGAUAGAGUAUGUGAGUAUAUCUUUCAAACUUCAAUUUUUUUAUUAACUCAAGAUGUUAUUUUGAAUAGACCAAAACCAAUUGUCCACAAAGAAGGAAAUAUUAUUGAAUAAGGAGUUAAGACGAAUAAAAUGAAAUUUUGUGAUUUAAGUUUCAAUUAUGAGAAAUUAAUUACUAAAUGUUAUAUAAAAUAGAAAAUGAGGGACUUGAUUACAAUUUGAAUCUAAGUAGUGUCAUAUGAAAUCUAUUUUCAUUUUAUAUAAACAAAACCUUAAACCAUCGAUAAAGA
rnacentral:lncRNA from 1 species